GAACUGUGUCCUGCUCACCCUUCCUCCUGGCACCUGCCAUAACACUUGGCACAUGAUACACACUCCAUAAACAGGCUGGAUAUUGCACGCUUGGGACAUGCUCCAGAAUCAAGUUUCUCCACUGGAUCAAUUUUGAAAGGACUGUUUCCAGUUGGAAGAAACUUGAUUUGAGCCAGCCAGCCAUUUCUUCCUUGAAUAUUGUACGCAGGACAAUCCAUUCACCCAUCCCCACGCACUGAUGUGAUGGGCCCCUAGACAGUGGGAAGUAGCCCUUCGAAUGAGGAAGGUCUCUGAUGGAUCAGCUUUGGCACCUGGAACAACUUUUCUAGAAGGAACUUGCUAUGCGAGCUAGCUGCAAACACUCGGGAAAAUCUUUUCACAAGCAGGUUAUGAGGAGGAAAAGGAGACUCCUCUUUUGUAGUUGUGCCGAGUCAUCUGGUUCCAUUUAAAAGAAGUCAUCUUAACCCAGGCUCCCUGCUGGUGAGAGGCCCUUAGUCUAUGCUGGACCCCAUAUUUCAGGGCCACAGAUUGCACUUGGGUCCUUCAGCCCUCCUGCCUGGCCUUGUUCGUCACCACUAAGACUGGGACCCUGAAGCCCAGGCCCGGUGCAUGGCCGGCUGCCUCCCAGCUCCCAACACUAGGCUCUGUCUCUGCAAUUGUCUCUGCUAUUUCUGUGGAGGCAUCUCCUCAGCCUUGAUCAGGCACAUCUGCCGAAGCUCCCCCAACUCCCUGCCUUCCUCUGGUGCUGUCCUGGUGGGUGGAUCCCCCAUCACAGGAGACAGACCACACCAUCAGAUGGAUCCUUCCAGGCCAGCCUGGGGACACAUCCAUUUGGUCUUCCCAGGGAGGACUCCAGUCAUAAAGAUGUUUACACACCAGAGAAGUGGUUGAGAUGUGGUCUUGAGAUGAUAAAAAUACACACAACCUUUUAAAACCAUGGCAA